rnacentral:rRNA from 1 species
UACGGAGGAUGCGAGCGUUAUCCGGAUUUAUUGGGUUUAAAGGGUGCGUAGGCGGACGCUCAAGUCAGCGGUAAAAUUGCGGGGCUCAACCUCGUCGAGCCGUUGAAACUGGGUGCCUUGAGUGGGCGAGAAGUACGCGGAAUGCGUGGUGUAGCGGUGAAAUGCAUAGAUAUCACGCAGAACUCCGAUUGCGAAGGCAGCGUACCGGCGCCCUACUGACGCUGAAGCACGAAGGCGUGGGUAUCGAACAGG